rnacentral:misc_RNA from 1 species
CAAGCAUCACCACCUACACCGUACAAUUGCAACUACGAGUCAUAAUAGACAGUUUUAAUACCAUUGAUAUGAACUCAAAAGAACCACACUCCAAAAGUUUUGGAGAACCCAAUUUCAUUGAAAUCAUGCCAUCAACAUUUGAAAUCCUCAUUUCAUAUCAGAUUCACAAAGAGGUGCACUCCACAAAGAAAAUUCGUCCUUUCCCUUUGUUGCAUAAAAGGAAAUGAAAAUGGAAAAAAAAAAAAUUCUCCUGUGCAAAGAAUGUAAAAUAAUUACUGCAAGCAGCUGUAUUUAGCCAAAAAAAAAUAAAAAAAGCCUGCUAGCACCAUCAUUUGCUUUACAUCAUAGGUGAUGAAAACUAACUCCUAAAAGUACAAGCUCUGAAUUAUCAGGUAAAAGGUCAACUGGUGACCAUAAUAUCCUGUGCUUUAAAUGCCUGGGGAUCAACUCCCACAUCCCUGAACAAAUCUAGUAAAAAUGUGUGUGACCAAAAGAAACACGUUCUAUACAUACCAGAUUUUCCCCCUUUCACACUUGCCACCAUUUUCGAUUCUCCAUUGCCUUAACAAGCUCAUUUGCCAAUGAUGCGAAGUCUUCAGCUCCAUUUUGCAGCUCUGCAGUGCGCCUGCUGAUUCUCUCCAAUUUUUCUUGUCUUUCCACAAGCUUGUUUCUUGCGUGUGCAGCAACUGACGAGGCAUCCUAGAAGCAAUUACCACAUCAAAAUAAGUAAUCCAUUGAAAUAAAUGUCACCUUGCAAAAAAGAAGUUGACUACUAAAUAAUUGUAGUCACUAGAACUGUGAUAUCUUGAGUUCCAAUCAAAGCAGAAUGAAGCCACCAAAAAUAAAAUAAUAAUAAUCAUAAUCCAUGAUAUUACCCCAGCUUUUCUAUAUUGAGCUAUAAUUUCUUCAGGUGUCCUUAGUCUGGGUUUUAUAUCAUCAGCCCUGCCUAAUAACUGUUCCCUUUCUGUAUCCUUCUCUCUCUUUAUAUUUUUCACUUCCUGCGAUGUAGUUACCGUGGGCAGAGGUGAUUCAUCUAUCUCAAUAUCAUCUAUAUUAAGCUCUACAGCUUCCU